AUUGAACGCUGGCGGCAUGCCUUACACAUGCAAGUCGAACGGUAACGCGGGGCAACCUGGCGACGAGUGGCGAACGGGUGAGUAAUGUAUCGGAACGUGCCCAGUUGUGGGGGAUAACUGCUCGAAAGAGCAGCUAAUACCGCAUACGACCUGAGGGUGAAAGCGGGGGAUCGCAAGACCUCGCGCAAUUGGAGCGGCCGAUAUCAGAUUAGGUAGUUGGUGGGGUAAAGGCCUACCAAGCCUACGAUCUGUAGCUGGUCUGAGAGGACGACCAGCCACACUGGGACUGAGACACGGCCCAGACUCCUACGGGAGGCAGCAGUGGGGAAUUUUGGACAAUGGGGGCAACCCUGAUCCAGCCAUGCCGCGUGCGGGAAGAAGGCCUUCGGGUUGUAAACCGCUUUUGUCAGGGAAGAAAUCCUUUGAACUAAUACUUCGGAGGGAUGACGGUACCUGAAGAAUAAGCACCGGCUAACUACGUGCCAGCCGCCGCGGUAACAC
rnacentral:rRNA from 1 species